CCUACGGGAGGCAGCAGUGGGGAAUAUUGCACAAUGGGCGCAAGCCUGAUGCAGCGACGCCGCGUGCGGGAUGACGGCCUUCGGGUUGUAAACCGCUUUUGACUGGGAGCAAGCCCUUCGGGGUGAGUGUACCUUUCGAAUAAGCACCGGCUAACUACGUGCCAGCAGCCGCGGUAAUACGUAGGGUGCAAGCGUUAUCCGGAAUUAUUGGGCGUAAAGGGCUCGUAGGCGGUUCGUCGCGUCCGGUGUGAAAGUCCAUCGCUUAACGGUGGAUCCGCGCCGGGUACGGGCGGGCUUGAGUGCGGUAGGGGAGACUGGAAUUCCCGGUGUAACGGUGGAAUGUGUAGAUAUCGGGAAGAACACCAAUGGCGAAGGCAGGUCUCUGGGCCGUCACUGACGCUGAGGAGCGAAAGCGUGGGGAGCGAACAGGAUUAGAUACCCUGGUAGUCCACGCCGUAAACGGUGGAUGCUGGAUGUGGGGCCCGUUCCACGGGUUCCGUGUCGGAGCUAACGCGUUAAGCAUCCCGCCUGGGGAGUACGGCCGCAAGGCUAAAACUCAAAGAAAUUGACGGGGGCCCGCACAAGCGGCGGAGCAUGCGGAUUAAUUCGAUGCAACGCGAAGAACCUUACCUGGGCUUGACAUGUUCCCGACAGCCGUAGAGAUACGGUCUCCCUUCGGGGCGGGUUCACAGGUGGUGCAUGGUCGUCGUCAGCUCGUGUCGUGAGAUGUUGGGUUAAGUCCCGCAACGAGCGCAACCCUCGCCCCGUGUUGCCAGCGGAUUAUGCCGGGAACUCACGGGGGACCGCCGGGGUUAACUCGGAGGAAGGUGGGGAUGACGUCAGAUCAUCAUGCCCCUUACGUCCAGGGCUUCACGCAUGCUACAAUGGCCGGUACAACGGGAUGCGACGCGGCGACGCGGAGCGGAUCCCUGAAAACCGGUCUCAGUUCGGAUCGCAGUCUGCAACUCGACUGCGUGAAGGCGGAGUCGCUAGUAAUCGCGAAUCAGCAACGUCGCGGUGAAUGCGUUCCCGGGCCUUGUACACACCGCCCGUCAAGUCAUGAAAGUGGGCAGCACCCGAAGCCGGUGGCCUAACCCCUUGUGGGAUGGAGCCGUCUAAGGUGAGGCUCGUGAUUGGGACUAAGUCGUAACAAGGUAGCCGUACCGGAAGGUGCGGCUG
rnacentral:rRNA from 1 species